UUUUGCUCGAGUCUAUGGUGUCAAUCAGCUGAUAAGGACAUUUCUGCAGAAGACAGAAUGUUAUUGUCAAAUUCUAAAUCUUGAGACUGGGAUGGAGACCACCUUCUGGAGAUUAAAGGAUCAUAGAAGUCCUGUUGCCUGCCUGUCGCAUUCAAUCAAGUUGCGUAAAAUACUGCUGUGGAGAAAGGGAGAUAUUUUCCCUGGAAAUCUGGAGUCAUGUUUACUCACUACGUUCCACAAGAGAGCAAUGAAGUAAGAGAAUUUCUAUUGUUUCUGGAAAUGUUAUUUAUCAUAUUCUCACCGAACUCUAUACCUCUAUCUAUGGGCACAGAUUAUUCUGGAAGGCCAGUGAGAACUAUUCUAGAUGAAACCUCUGGUUUCAAAAUGGAACUUUUUGAUGCUGCAGAUAAUUGUGACA